AGUUAUCUGAACCUUCGGGGAACGAUAACGGCGUCGAGCGGCGGACGGGUGAGUAAUGCCUAGGAAAUUGCCCUGAUGUGGGGGAUAACCAUUGGAAACGAUGGCUAAGACCGCAUGAUGUCGUUUUCUAUAAGCGGAAAUGACCAAAGAGGGGGACCUUCGGGCCUCUCGCGUCAGGAUAUGCCUAGGUGGGAUUAGCUAGUUGGUGAGGUAAUGGCUCACCAAGGCGACGAUCCCUAGCUGGUCUGAGAGGAUGAUCAGCCACACUGGAACUGAGACACGGUCCAGACUCCUACGGGAGGCAGCAGUGGGGAAUAUUGCACAAUGGGCGCAAGCCUGAUGCAGCCAUGCCGCGUGUGUGAAGAAGGCCUUCGGGUUGUAAAGCACUUUCAGUCGUGAGGAAGGUGGUGUAGUUAAUAGCUGCAUUACUUGACGUUAGCGACAAAAGAAGCACCGGCUAACUCCGUGCCAGCAGCCGCGGUAAUACGGAGGGUGCGAGCGUUAAUCGGAAUUACUGGGCGUAAAGCGCAUGCAGGUGGUUUGUUAAGUCAGAUGUGAAAGCCCGGGGCUCAACCUCGGAAUAGCAUUUGAAACUGGCAGACUAGAGUACUGUAGAGGGGGGUAGAAUUUC
rnacentral:rRNA from 1 species